CUCUCUCACUAUCUCAGACAGAAGAGAAAUAAACAUGCCGCCAUUGAAAUUCUGCGAUUCACUCCACAACUACAAUCUUGAGCACCAUGUCACUAAACUGUCCUACCUUCUUCUUCUUAGAUCAGUUCUUCGUAAAACUUGAUCUCUUGUUUAAUCUCUGCAGCUGAAAACCUAGAUCCAGUAUUUUUAUUUCUAAUCUAGGGUUUCAAUCAUAAAAUGAGCAGGAGAUUUCUUUGAUUGAUCUAUAAAAGGAUGAAAAUUGAAAAGUGAGAAGAAAGGAAAUCCAGGAUUGGGUUUUACUUAUUUCAGCUAAUUUGAUUUGGGGAUUUAGGGCAGUUAUUUCAAAUAGGCACUUGGUUACAGAGAUAUGGGGUUGAGUUCAAAUUCAGAGUCGAGAAGGUUUUGAUGGUGUUGAGAACAGAUGAUGUAGCUGCAAUUGGUGACUACUUGAUCACUGGUUGAGUUUGCUUCUAAAAUUGGGGUUUGAGAUGAAUUGGUAAGGAUGAGGAUAGUGUAAAGCUGAUAUGUUUAAGCAGAGAUGAAGCUGGUGAUGGUAAUUGCAGCUGCAACUACAAAUAAGAGAACAAGAAGAAGUGACUUGAUCUUGUCACCACAGUCAGUCAAGCCCUGAUGCUGGUUGUGUAUGUGAAACUGCAGGAAUGGAAUUGAAAUUGCAGCGAAGGUGGUGGUAAUUCUGAUUUACAGAUCUGGUGAUUGAUGAAUUUGAGUUUCUAGUAAAAGUUACAGGGAAGUGGUGAUUUGAAGCUCAGGUCUGGUAUGUUGAAUUGGGUCAGAGAGCUGAUGGAAAUCUAUUACAUGGUGAAAUGGGUUGUUGAACAGAUCCUGUGAUGGAGGUCGAUGGUGUUUGAGCUCAAGGAAGAGAUGGGUUCGCCGGGGUUGAUUAAUCUGUGUAUGAGCAAUAAGUGAUGCAGGCGGUAUGAGGAGAUGGAGCUACAGGGAAUUUUGUUGUUACUCAAAUUGCAGAAGAAGAUGUGAAGUGGAGUCUUGAUGUGGCUGAGUUUUGAAUGGUUUGAGAUGGAAGCAAGCAAUGGGCAUAACUGGUGGCUAGUCAUGGUGUUGGGGUUGAGUCCUGGUAAGAAUGGGUAUGCAGAAAUGGCUAGGCAGUGGUGGACCUCAACUGCAUCGGCUAUGUGCAUAAGGGUAUGUAGGUGGUAGAAGCUGAAAUGUUGUUGCUGCUCUAAGUUUUGAUGGAGCUGUUAAACUCAGCAGUGGGUUCCAGGUUUGAGCAGUGGAUGCAGCUGAGGUUUGUGAGAAGAUGGCUUUGCAGUCAUAUUGCAGCUACAGCUGUAGUGACUCUGAUGUGAUGCUGUAGUUAGUUAGCUGAAGACCUGGUGAAAUAGAUGAGUAUUGUACUAAAACCAGGAAGUUUUUGCAAGUCAGUGUUCUUAAAAAUUUACGUUAUCUCUAAUUGUCAUCAAUUGCACGGUAGAGAUAAGUCAUGGUGCACCAAGUUUCAGAUACUGAUUAACGAACCUGUACCAGGUAAUCCACUGUAAACCAUACACACUUGAAAAUAUAAUUGGCCGACUUUAGGAGGACUUCUACACGAUGACAGAUGACUUAACUGUUAUGUGUCGGUCACAAAGUUUGUCCCAGGAAAUAGAAAUCAUUUUUUUAUCUCAUAAUUGCAUGAAAUUAAGAUGAGAUUUGACUGAAUCCGUUUAAUUGAUGAACAAUUUCAUUUAGAUACAAUCAGAUAAACAGUUCUGUACCAAGAUUGUCAUACACCGAGUAUAAUAAUGAUUCAUAAAUUCAUGGAAUUGAUGAAUUUAAUUUUCGUUCUAGGUUAUAGUUUAUUUGGCCUUAUUUGAAGCACUUAACAUUUGUAUACGAUGCUUAGUUUUAGGAUUUUAAAGAGGUUUUGACUAGUGUUAAGUGUUAAUACAAGGUUUUAUAGUAAUGAGUCCUCAUAAUAUUAUAAUUUCACUACCUGGGUUUUGUGUUUGUAGAGGUUGAGUUUAAGAAGUUGAAGGGCAGGUUGAGUUUGGAAGGGAACUGCCUUUGGUGGUAACAAGAUUUCUUUGUUAAGUUGGGUUAUGUAAAUUUUACAAUGCAAUAUAAAAAGAUAUGCCUUUUGGUCAGAGGUUGUAACAACAUUUCAUUGUUAAGUUAUUUCUGAGUGUUCACCUGAUUACUUUUACAACUAUGCCCAAAUUUAAUUUUGCGGGUCUGACAUGCUCUGGCAAUUGCUUUAUUCUACUCUUCACUUACGUGUUGGUUGCGUGUUUUAUUGAUACAGUACCAGGCGAUUCAGUGAAACACUUCAUUAGAGUGGACUUACCUGUGCCUGCACUCACCAAUCCAAGGCAUAACAAUGCGAUUCAGUGAAACACUUCAUUAGAGUGGACUUACCUGUGCCUGCACUUACCAAUCCAAGGUAUAACAACAGUCUAUUUCUUUUCUGUUUUCUGGAAAAGAUCUGAGUGUUUCCAACUGAUUAGCUGCUAGAAAAGCAAUAUACCAAUGACAAGUCUUUGGCGAUGUGGAUAAUCUCAAAGUGUGAGAGGCCAUGACACCGUGUCGAGCUUAACACGUGAUGUAGUGUACGAUAUAGCAGAAGCAUACCUAGAAGAAAGGGAACGUCGACACCGUAAUCGUUGACGUAUUAUGGGAAUUUAGUCUUGAAUAUGGCAUUUCAGUCUAAGAUGGUAUGUUUGAGAUUUUUAGCUAGGGAAUAAAAGAAUAUGUCGCUACUUAUGGCAUGAAUUCAUAUUUGAUUAGAUUUUCAGUAUCCGUAGCUUUAUUUUCUAGGUUUUGGUUUAGGAGUUUUGAAGCCUAUAUAUAAAGGCUGUCUCGUCUAAAUGUAAAGACAUUGAAUCAGAGAUUAAUAAAAUCACUUCUUAUUGAGAAGUUUAUAAA